CCUAACACAUGCAAGUCGAGCGGAUGAAAGGGAGCUUGCUCCUUGAUUCAGCGGCGGACGGGUGAGUAAUGCCUAGGAAUUUGCCUGGUAGUGGGGGAUAACGUCCGGAAACGGGCGCUAAUACCGCAUACGUCCUGAGGGAGAAAGUGGGGGAUCUUCGGACCUCACGCUAUCAGAUGAGCCUAGGUCGGAUUAGCUAGUUGGUGGGGUAAAGGCCUACCAAGGCGACGAUCCGUAACUGGUCUGAGAGGAUGAUCAGUCACACUGGAACUGAGACACGGUCCAGACUCCUACGGGAGGCAGCAGUGGGGAAUAUUGGACAAUGGGCGAAAGCCUGAUCCAGCCAUGCCGCGUGUGUGAAGAAGGUCUUCGGAUUGUAAAGCAC
rnacentral:rRNA from 1 species